GCUGAACUUAAGCAUAUCAAUACGA
rnacentral:rRNA from 1 species